rnacentral:rRNA from 1 species
AAAUUGAAGAGUUUGAUCAUGGCUCAGAUUGAACGCUGGCGGCAGGCCUAACACAUGCAAGUCGAACGGUAACAGGAAGCAGCUUGCUGCUUCGCUGACGAGUGGCGGACGGGUGAGUAAUGUCUGGGAAACUGCCUGAUGGAGGGGGAUAACUACUGGAAACGGUGGCUAAUACCGCAUAACGUCGCAAGACCAAAGAGGGGGACCUUCGGGCCUCUUGCCAUCAGAUGUGCCCAGAUGGGAUUAGCUGGUUGGUGAGGUAACGGCUCACCAAGGCGACGAUCCCUAGCUGGUCUGAGAGGAUGACCAGCCACACUGGAACUGAGACACGGUCCAGACUCCUACGGGAGGCAGCAGUGGGGAAUAUUGCACAAUGGGCGCAAGCCUGAUGCAGCCAUGCCGCGUGUAUGAAGAAGGCCUUCGGGUUGUAAAGUACUUUCAGCGGGGAGGAAGGUGUUGUGGUUAAUAACCGCAGCAAUUGACGUUACCCGCAGAAGAAGCACCGGCUAACUCCGUGCCAGCAGCCGCGGUAAUACGGAGGGUGCAAGCGUUAAUCGGAAUUACUGGGCGUAAAGCGCACGCAGGCGGUCUGUCAAGUCGGAUGUGAAAUCCCCGGGCUCAACCUGGGAACUGCAUUCGAAACUGGCAGGCUUGAGUCUUGUAGAGGGGGGUAGAAUUCCAGGUGUAGCGGUGAAAUGCGUAGAGAUCUGGAGGAAUACCGGUGGCGAAGGCGGCCCCCUGGACAAAGACUGACGCUCAGGUGCGAAAGCGUGGGGAGCAAACAGGAUUAGAUACCCUGGUAGUCCACGCCGUAAACGAUGUCUACUUGGAGGUUGUGCCCUUGAGGCGUGGCUUCCGGAGCUAACGCGUUAAGUAGACCGCCUGGGGAGUACGGCCGCAAGGUUAAAACUCAAAUGAAUUGACGGGGGCCCGCACAAGCGGUGGAGCAUGUGGUUUAAUUCGAUGCAACGCGAAGAACCUUACCUGGUCUUGACAUCCACGGAAGUUUUCAGAGAUGAGAAUGUGCCUUCGGGAACCGUGAGACAGGUGCUGCAUGGCUGUCGUCAGCUCGUGUUGUGAAAUGUUGGGUUAAGUCCCGCAACGAGCGCAACCCUUAUCCUUUGUUGCCAGCGAUUAGGUCGGGAACUCAAAGGAGACUGCCAGUGAUAAACUGGAGGAAGGUGGGGAUGACGUCAAGUCAUCAUGGCCCUUACGACCAGGGCUACACACGUGCUACAAUGGCGCAUACAAAGAGAAGCGACCUCGCGAGAGCAAGCGGACCUCAUAAAGUGCGUCGUAGUCCGGAUUGGAGUCUGCAACUCGACUCCAUGAAGUCGGAAUCGCUAGUAAUCGUGGAUCAGAAUGCCACGGUGAAUACGUUCCCGGGCCUUGUACACACCGCCCGUCACACCAUGGGAGUGGGUUGCAAAAGAAGUAGGUAGCUUAACCUUCGGGAGGGCGCUUACCACUUUGUGAUUCAUGACUGGGGUGAAGUCGUAACAAGGUAACCGUAGGGGAACCUGCGGUUGGAUCACCUCCUUACCUGAAAGAA